rnacentral:rRNA from 1 species
GACGAACGCUGGCGGCGUGCUUAACACAUGCAAGUCGAACGGAAAGGCCCUGCGUUUGUGGGCUGCUCGAGUGGCGAACGGGUGAGUAACACGUGAGUAACCUGCCCUUGAUUUUGGGAUGACUUCAGGAAACUGGGGUUACGACCGUACAGCAGCCCCUGCUGCAUGGUGGGGGUUGGAAAUUCUCGGCGGGUGGGGAUGGACUCGCGGCUUAUCAGCUUGUUGGUUGGGUAGUGGCUUACCAAGGCUUUGACGGAUCGCCGGCCUGAGAGGGUGACCGGCGACAUUGGGACUGAGAUAGGGCCCAGACUCCUACAGGAGGCAGCAGUGGGGAGUAUUGCACAAUGGGCGCAAGCCUGAUGCAGCGGCGCCGCGUGCGGAAUGACGGCCUUCGGGUUGAAAACCGCUUUCGCCUGUGACGAAGCGGGAGUGACGGUAAUGGGUGAAGAAGCACCGGCUAACUACGUG